rnacentral:lncRNA from 10 species
UAGGCAACAUAAUGAGACUCUGUCUCUACAAAAAAUUUAAAAAUUAGUGGGGUGUGGUGAUGCAUGUGUAGUCCCAGCUACUCCGGAGGCUGAGCUGGGACUACAGGCUUACACCACCAAGCUUGGCUAAUUUUUUUUUUUUUUUUUUUUAGAGAUGGUGUUUUGCUAAGUUGUCCACACUGAUCUCAAAAUCCUUUUGUUUUUGCUUUGGAAUGGUCUGGAACUCCUGAGCUCAAGUGAUCCUCCCACCUUGGCCUCCCAAAGGCCUGGGAUUACACGUAUGAGCCACCGCACCAAGCCCAUGUUGAGCUUUUAAGGUAUUAAAGAUCCACUAGGUGAAAAAAAAGAGUGAAAGAUACAUAUGCCAUUUAAGGGAAGCACAGGAAAACUCCUAUUUUGUUUAUAUGUGAAUAGAGGCACAUAGAUGCCUAGAAAAGUGUCUGGGAGGGAAUGAAACCAGAUUGGCCACAAAAAUCACCUCUGGAAAAAGGAAAAGAAUGGGGACUUUCACUUUUUGCUUCAUAUGUUUCAUGUACCUUUUUUUUUUUUUUUUUGAGAUGGAGUUUCACUCUUAUUGCCCAGGCUGGGGUGCAGUGGUGCGAUCUCAGCUCACUGCAACCUCUGCCUCCUAGGUUCAAGCGAUUCUCCUGCCUCAGCCUCCCAAGUAGCUGGGAUUACAGGCAUGCGCCACCACGCCCGGCUAAUUUUUUGUGUUUUUAGUAGAGACGAGGUUUCUCCAUGUUGGUCAGGCUGGUCUCGAACUCCUGACAUCAGGUGAUCUACCCACUUUGGCCUCCCAAAGUGCUGGGAUUACAGGCGUGAGCCACCGCGCCCAGCUGCUUUUUCUUUUUAAAAAGUAAAAUAUAACAGAGAAAACUGCACAAAACAGAAGUGUUCAAAUUAAAUUUUUUUUUUUUUGAGACAGGGUCUUGCCCUGUUGCCCAGGCUGGAGUGCAGUGGCUCAUUCAUAGCUCACUGCAGCCUCAAACUCCUGGGUUCAAGCGAUCCUCCCACCCCAGCCUCCUGAGUGGCUGGAAGGCCAAGGGAGGAUCGCUUGAGCCCAGGAGUUUGAGGCUGUGCCACCACACGCAGCUGGUUUUUUUUUUUUUUUUUAAUUUUUUGUAGAGACAGGGUCUCGCUAUGUCACCCACGCUGGUCUCAAACUCACGGGCUCAAGCAAUCCUCCCAUCUUUGGCCUCCCAAAGUACUGAGACUACAAACAUGAGCCAUCUUGCCCAGCCCCUAGAACGUGUUAUCAAAUAAACACCGAUGCAACCCUCACUCAGCUGAGAAGUAAAACAUUGCCAGCCAAUCCCUAAAUGCUUCUGCUUGCCGCUUCCCAAUCCUAACCAAUGCCUUCUCCUGACAAUUAUGAUGGUCAUGUCUUUGCAUUUCUCUAAUGUUUCCCAUCACGAUCAAACUAGUUUUGUUUUGCCUGUGUCCAAACUUUGCAUAAAUGAGCAGCAUGUGUCUGGUGGACCUGGCUUCUUCCACUCAACAUUAUGAUAAGAAGAUUGACCAUUUGGUGCCCAUAGCUAUUGCUCUUGCAUUUUCAUUGCUCUAUAGAUUCUUACUCAACAUACCUUAAAAAUUUUUUUAUUCUGAAAUAAGAGCGGGAUGCUAUUAAAAAAAGAAAAAAGAAGAGAACAAAAAAGUCCUCCAGUAAAUUUAAAAUAUGGUAGUCAAGGCCGGGCACGGUGGCUCACACCUGUAAUCCCAGCACUUUGGGAGGCUGAGGUGGGUGGAUCACCCGAGGUCAGGAGUUCGAGACCAGCCCGGCCAACAUGGCAAAACCCUGUCUCUACGAAAAAAAUACAUAAAUCAGCCAGGUGUGGUGGUGUGCACCCGUAAUCCCAGCUACUCGGGAGGCUGAGACAUGAGAAUUGCUUGAGCCCGGGAGGCAGAGGUUUCGGUGAGCUGAGAACUGCCACUGCACUCCAGCCUGGGUGACAGAAUGAGACUAUAAAAGAAAGAAAGAGAGAAAGAGAGAGAGAAAGGAAGGAGGGAAGGGAAGGGAGGGGAGGGGAGGGGAAGGGAGGGGAGGGGAGGGGAGAGAAGGGGAAGGGAAGGGAAGGAGAAGGGAAAGGGAAGGGAAGAAAAUUAGAGAUUAAUUCAGGAGAUUCAACAUCCGCCUAAUAGAAAUUCUAGAAAGAGGAAGUAGAGAAUAGAGAGGCCAGGUGCAGUGGCUCACACCUAUAAUCUCAGCACUUUGGGAGGCUGAAGUAGGAGGAUUGCUUAAGGCCAGGAGUUUGAGGCUGCAGUGAGCUAUGAUUGAGCCACUGUACUCCAGCCUGGAAAACAAAGCAAGACCUCGUCUCUAAAAGUAAUAAUAUGCCGGGACAGUGGCUCCCCACACUUUGGGAGGCUAAGGUGGGCGGAUCACUUGAGGUCAGGCUUUCGAGACCAGCCUGGCCAACAUGAUGAAACCCAAUCUCCACUAAAAAUAAAAAAAUUAGCCAGGUGUGGUGCUGCACACCUGUAACCCCAGCUACCUGGGAGGAGACAGGAGAAUCGCUUGAACCCGGGAGAUGGAGGUUGCAUGAGGUGAGAUCGCCUCAUUGCACUCCAGCCUGGGUGAUAGAAUGAGACUCUGUCUCAAAAUAAUAAUAAUAAUAAUAAAGUUAAAUAUAAAUAAAUAAAAGCAAAUGAAUAUAAUGAGUUUUAUUCAUUUGUUUUGCUGUUGUUAUUGUUUUGGAGACAGAGUUUUGUUCUUGUCGCCCAGGCUGGAGUACAAUGAUGCGAUCUGGUCUCACUGCAACCUUCGCUUCCUGGGUUCAAGCGAUUCUCCUGCCUUAGUCUCCUGAGUAGCUGGGAUUAGAGGCGUGUGACACCACGCCCGGGUAAUUUUUGUAUUUUUAGUAGAGACGGGGUUUCACCAUGUUGGCCAGGCUGGUCUCGAACUCCUGACCUCAGGUGAUCCACCAACCUGGGCCUCCCAAAGUGCUGGGAUUACAGGUAUGAGCUAUCAUGCCUGGCCUCAUUUCUUUUAAAAUCAGAAGGAAAAAAUAUAUAUAACUUUUAGGCCAAAAAUGUCUUCACAUAUAUUAAUAGAUUGAUCUUUUCCCAAUGCAACCAUAAAUAUCAUUUUUUAAAAUUAUUAUUAUUUUAGAAACAGGGUCUCACUCUGACGCCCAGGCUGAAGUGCAGUGGUAUGAUCUUAGCUCACUGUAGCCUCCAAUUCCUGGGCUCAAGCGAUCCUCCCACAUCAGCUUCUUGAAUGUGACCUCAGGCAGACGUCACCGUGCCCAGCUAAUUUUUAAUGUAAUUUUAUUUUUUUGGUAAAGAUGGGUUCUCAUUAUGUUGCCCAGGCCGGUCUUGAACUCCUGGCCUCAAGUGAUCCUCCUGCCUUGGCCUCCUAAGGUGCUGGUAUUAUAGGAUUGAGCCACCAAGCCCGGCCCGAAUAUAAUUUUUAAAUUUUUUUUUUUAAGACAGAGUUUCACUCUUGUUGCCUAGGCUGGAGUGCAGUGGCACGAUCUCGGCUGACCGCAACCUCCACCUCCCGGGUUCAAGCGAUUCUCCUGCCUCAGCCUCCUGAGUAGCUGGGAUUACAGGCAUGCACCACCACACCCAAAUAAUUUUCUAUUUUUAGUAGAGACAGGGUUUCUCCACAUUGGUCAGGCUGGUCUUGAACUCCCGACCUCAGGUGAUCCUCCCACCUCGGCCUCAUAAAGUGCUGGGAUUACAGGCAUAUGCCACCACGCCCGGCCUAAUUUUCUAAUUUUUUUUUUUAACUGAAGAAGGACCCCAGGAAGUCAAAAGUGCCUAUAACCCAGGAAAGUCUAAAUGAGGACAACGGAGGCUGGGCGUGGUGGCUCACUCCUGUAAUCCCAGCACUUUGGGAGGCCAAGGUGGGCGGAUCACCUGAGGUCAGGAGUUCGAGACCAGCCUGGCCAACAUAGUGAAACCCUGUCUCUACUAAAAAACACAAAAAUUAGUCGGGUGUGGUGGCGGGCACCUAUGAUCACAGCUUCUCAGGAGGGUGAGGCAGGAGAAUCGCUUGAACCUAGGAGGCAGAGGCUGCAGUGGGCUGAGAUCGCACCACUGCACUCCAGCCUGGGGGACAGAGCGAGACCCCGUCUCAAACAAACAAAACAAAACAAAAUGAGGACAAUGGGGCUUCCAAUGGCAACUCGAGACGUUAGUUUACUCCAGAGUCAUGGAGACAGUGAAUGGAGUGUGUGUGUGUGUGUGUGCGUGUGCGUGAGUGAGAGAGAGAGGAAGAAGGGAGGGAGGGACGGUUACAGGAGUGUGGGAAAGUCAACAGGAAAAGGAGGGAAGGUUCGCUGUGAACUGACAGUAACUGUGACAUCACAGGCAUCAGGCUUGUCAGACCCUCCCAGUCCUUCAGCUGAGUCCCUGCACAGUCCCACAGGUUGUCUACUAAGUAAGCAGCGUGGUCGUGGAGCUGGGGAAGGAGGUGCAUGGGGAUUU